rnacentral:rRNA from 1 species
GGCUCAGGACGAACGCUAGCGACGUGUCUAAGAAAUGCAAGUCGAGCGAUGAAGGAGGCUUCGGCCUCCCGAUUAGCGGCGAACGGUCGCGUAACACGUAAGCAAUCUGCCCCAAAGUUUGGGAUAGCCCGGCGAAAGUCGGAUUAAUACCGGAUGUGGAUAUGUCUUCGCAUGUGGAUAUAUCUAAAGCAGCGAUGCGCUUUGGGAUGAGCUUGCGGCCUAUCAGCUUGAUGGCGGGGUAACGGCCUGCCAUGGCGACGACGGGUAGCUGGUCUGAGAGGAUGGUCAGCCGGACUGGGACUGAGAUACGGCCCAGACUCCUACGGGGGGCAGCAAUUAAGAAUCUUGCGCAAUGGGGGCAACCCUGACGCCAGCGACGUCGCGUGAAUGAUGAAGUCUUUCGGGAUGUAAAGUUCUUUUGUCAAGGAAGAGUAUUAGACGGUACUUGACGAAUAAGCCCCGGCUAACUACGUGCCAGCAGCUGC